UCUCAGCUCAUCAUUUCGCUCUCUGUAUACAAAAACCCAGAUUCCCCGUUGCGUCCAUAAUCUUCUUUCUUCUUCAUUCUUCUUCAUUCUGUCUAACCACUUGUUAGUCGACACAUAGCACCGAUCAGUCACUGGUUCUUCGCCAUAAAUUGUCAUCCCCUUAUCUCUGUUAUCCGUUUCCUUUGUUCACCGCCUUGAAAAUUCCCUUCUGGUAUUUCACCCUUACAUCAACAUGUCUGCAGUGCCUAUGAUGGUGUUAAAUAUACUCCGAGACUUUUGUUCGUUAUGCGUCUCUCUAUUCGAUUAUGGAUUUUAUCAGUAACAGACUGGGGAAUCACUUGAAACUAUUACGCUUAGCAUCGUUUUCUCCAGAUGCCAUCUUUUGCGCAGAAGUCCUCAAAAAUGUUUAGUAGAUAUUUGGUGGGGCUGAAGUAGAUUUGAAUAAAUAGUUGAAGUGCGUUUUUCUUAGCUGAUCUAAUGAUAUAUGCAAAUGACGAAAAACUAGACAGGGACAUCAGAUCACUAAUGGUGAAUGAUGACUUGGUCUAAUGGGAAUCUCUCUGAUGCUUACACAAAGCUGUUUUAAUUCUUUAAUGAGCUUGUUGAAGUUCCAUUUUAAGUGCGUUUUAAUCUGGGCACAAGUAGUUUUUUUUAUGUCUCUCCUGCAUGCGAAAGGAUAUAUUCCCCUUUUUUUUGUUUGAAUUAUUUGAAUAUUUUGUUUCUUUUUUUUUAAUCACCUGUGCAAAUGACGAUGAAGCAGACAGGGACAUCAGUAUUGCCUUUGGGCAUGAUGAUUUGUCUUUGGGAAUCUCUCUGAUGCACCACAGUUUCUUGAUUGAAACAUAUUUUUGCUUAUUUCUCAAAUCUUUGUUUGCCCAUGAUGCAUUCUAAUGCACGUAUUAUCAGAUAGAUGAUGAUGAUAUCUGCUUGUCGCUACCUCUGAGGCAAACCGUAGAAGAUUUAAUGUUUUCGCGCAUCUGUUUUAUUAUUUUGAAUUACGAACUACAAGUUAAAAAUUUAUGACUUAGUGAUUGCAUGUCUUUUUGGGUCUAACUUUGUUUUCUUUGUUGUUAUGGCUGCUAAUUUCGUUUAAUCAAGUGUGCUUUUCCUAGAAAUUGUUCUAAAUAAUUUGUUGAAUUACUUGUAUUUUACACCCUCCACCAGCAUUGAUUGUUGAAGUCAAUAUAAGCAAUUUCUGAUUUCUUUUUGCUUGAAUUUUACCCCCCUCCACCAGCAUAUCUCCAUAAGUUAUUUUAAAUAUGCUGUUUCCGAAUACUUUCUUUUAUCAUGGUUUACCAGUGAUGGUUUUUAAAUCAUCAGAUAUGAGCAUAAAAUGAUAAUAUCUAGUAACUCUGAGGUAAUCCAUGUGUGUCCUCUCUUAAAAUUUUGUUUUCCUGCAUGCAAUAUUGUUGUUCAGUAUACUAUUUUCUAUAUUUUGGUAUGCUGGAAAAUUUCUGUUUGCCUGCUGUGGAUUGAAAUAUAUGAGUUUAGAUAGGCCCGAUGAUUGUCAUGUGAGAACGGAGAUAUGAAAGAUGGUCUUUUGUUGUAGCCUGAUCAAGGGAUUGGGCUCCAAAAACCAUAACAUGUGAUAAAUGUUCUUGAAGGUAUAUGAAGGGCUCUGAAUGCAUGUCCAGUAGCGGCUUGUUCAGCAUUGUUGCAGGCAUACAGCCAGAAUCUUGUACUGGUUAGAUCAGAGUGGAUUUUCUGAGUUGCUUCGUGCUCAAUUUUCUAGUUGUGCUGCUAUGAUUGAUCAUAAGUGGAUGAAAGUAGUUGGUGUUCCUUUUCUUUCAAGAAUAGAUGUCAACUGGGUUGUAUGUAUUUUGUAUGUCAUCAAAGAUCGUCAAUUGGGUUGAGCUAUAUCCCCCCGGCCCAAAUGGAGCAUGCAGGAAGGAGUGCAAUCCUUUUUUUUUUUUUUUUAAAUCUUUUUCUUGUUGCAGUUGGGCCAUCUUGAAUUUGAAUCAAAGACCUCGCUUGUGAAAUAAAUUAUUGUACUAAGUGGUCGAACCAAUUGGGCGCAGCAGACAAUUCUCUGUUGUAUUCUGAUCGUCUAGUUUGCUUGUUCCCCUCUCUUUUUUACCAUUACAAUGAGAGGAAAAAAGAGGGCACAAGAGACUUUCCUGAUCUAAUAUUAGACUUGUUUUUCCUUAUUUGCUAAAA